rnacentral:rRNA from 1 species
AAUCCAUAGGUUAAUGAGGCGAACCGGGGGAACUGAAACAUCUAAGUACCCCGAGGAAAAGAAAUCAACCGAGAUUCCCCCAGUAGCGGCGAGCGAACGGGGAGGAGCCCAGAGCCUGAAUCAGCAUGUGUGUUAGUGGAAGCGUCUGGAAAGGCGCGCGAUACAGGGUGACAGCCCCGUACACAAAAGCGCAUGUGCUGUGAGCUCGAUGAGUAGGGCGGGACACGUGGUAUCCUGUCUGAAUAUGGGGGGACCAUCCUCCAAGGCUAAAUACUCCUGACUGACCGAUAGUGAACCAGUACCGUGAGGGAAAGGCGAAAAGAACCCCGGCGAGGGGAGUGAAAAAGAACCUGAAACCGUGUACGUACAAGCAGUGGGAGCACCCUUUGGGUGUGACUGCGUACCUUUUGUAUAAUGGGUCAGCGACUUAUAUUCUGUAGCAAGGUUAACCGAAUAGGGGAGCCGGAGGGAAACCGAGUCUUAACCGGGCGUUAAGUUGCAGGGUAUAGACCCGAAACCCGGUGAUCUAGCCAUGGGCAGGUUGAAGGUUGGGUAACACUAACUGGAGGACCGAACCGACUAAUGUUGAAAAAUUAGCGGAUGACCUGUGGCUGGGGGUGAAAGGCCAAUCAAACCGGGAGAUAGCUGGUUCUCCCCGAAAGCUAUUUAGGUAGCGCCUCGUGAAUUCAUCUCCGGGGGUAGAGCACUGUUUCGGCUAGGGGGCCAUCCCGGCUUACCAACCCGAUGCAAACUGCGAAUACCGGAGAAUGUUAUCACGGGAGACACACGGCGGGUGCUAACGUCCGUCGUGAAGAGGGAAACAACCCAGACCGCCAGCUAAGGUCCCAAAGUCAUGGUUAAGUGGGAAACGAUGUGGGAAGGCCCAGACAGCCAGGAUGUUGGCUUAGAAGCAGCCAUCAUUUAAAGAAAGCGUAAUAGCUCACUGGUCGAGUCGGCCUGCGCGGAAGAUGUAACGGGGCUAAACCAUGCACCGAAGCUGCGGCAGCGACACUGUGUGUUGUUGGGUAGGGGAGCGUUCUGUAAGCCUGUGAAGGUGUGUCGUGAGGCAUGCUGGAGGUAUCAGAAGUGCGAAUGCUGACAUAAGUAACGAUAAAGCGGGUGAAAAGCCCGCUCGCCGGAAGACCAAGGGUUCCUGUCCAACGUUAAUCGGGGCAGGGUGAGUCGACCCCUAAGGCGAGGCCGAAAGGCGUAGUCGAUGGGAAACGGGUUAAUAUUCCCGUACUUGGUGUUACUGCGAAGGGGGGACGGAGAAGGCUAUGUUGGCCGGGCGACGGUUGUCCCGGUUUAAGCGUGUAGGCUGGUUUUCCAGGCAAAUCCGGAAAAUCAAGGCUGAGGCGUGAUGACGAGGCACUACGGUGCUGAAGCAACAAAUGCCCUGCUUCCAGGAAAAGCCUCUAAGCAUCAGGUAACAUCAAAUCGUACCCCAAACCGACACAGGUGGUCAGGUAGAGAAUACCAAGGCGCUUGAGAGAACUCGGGUGAAGGAACUAGGCAAAAUGGUGCCGUAACUUCGGGAGAAGGCACGCUGACACGUAGGUGAAGUGAUUUACUCAUGGAGCUGAAGUCAGUCGAAGAUACCAGCUGGCUGCAACUGUUUAUUAAAAACACAGCACUGUGCAAACACGAAAGUGGACGUAUACGGUGUGACGCCUGCCCGGUGCCGGAAGGUUAAUUGAUGGGGUCAGCGCAAGCGAAGCUCCUGAUCGAAGCCCCGGUAAACGGCGGCCGUAACUAUAACGGUCCUAAGGUAGCGAAAUUCCUUGUCGGGUAAGUUCCGACCUGCACGAAUGGCGUAAUGAUGGCCAGGCUGUCUCCACCCGAGACUCAGUGAAAUUGAACUCGCUGUGAAGAUGCAGUGUACCCGCGGCAAGACGGAAAGACCCCGUGAACCUUUACUAUAGCUUGACACUGAACAUUGAGCCUUGAUGUGUAGGAUAGGUGGGAGGCUUUGAAGUGUGGACGCCAGUCUGCAUGGAGCCGACCUUGAAAUACCACCCUUUAAUGUUUGAUGUUCUAACGUGGACCCGUUACCCGGGUUGCGGACAGUGUCUGGUGGGUAGUUUGACUGGGGCGGUCUCCUCCUAAAGAGUAACGGAGGAGCACGAAGGUUGGCUAAUCCUGGUCGGACAUCAGGAGGUUAGUGCAAUGGCAUAAGCCAGCUUGACUGCGAGCGUGACGGCGCGAGCAGGUGCGAAAGCAGGUCAUAGUGAUCCGGUGGUUCUGAAUGGAAGGGCCAUCGCUCAACGGAUAAAAGGUACUCCGGGGAUAACAGGCUGAUACCGCCCAAGAGUUCAUAUCGACGGCGGUGUUUGGCACCUCGAUGUCGGCUCAUCACAUCCUGGGGCUGAAGUAGGUCCCAAGGGUAUGGCUGUUCGCCAUUUAAAGUGGUACGCGAGCUGGGUUUAGAACGUCGUGAGACAGUUCGGUCCCUAUCUGCCGUGGGCGCUGGAGAACUGAGGGGGGCUGCUCCUAGUACGAGAGGACCGGAGUGGACGCAUCACUGGUGUUCGGGUUGUCAUGCCAAUGGCACUGCCCGGUAGCUAAAUGCGGAAGAGAUAAGUGCUGAAAGCAUCUAAGCACGAAACUUGCCCCGA